GUCUGCUCUCGAGUGAAAUAGAAGCUUGGUUUUGCCUUUGCUGAGUGAAACAGAACUUCGGUUUUGCCUUUGCUGGAUACUGAUCUGAUCGUCUCAAGUCUGAGUGAACAGAUCUUUGGUUUUGCCUUUGCUGGUGACCUGCUGCAGAA